AGUAGAACGCUGAGAACUGGUGCUUGCACCGAGUUCAAGGAAGUUGCGAAACGGGUGAGUAACGCGUAGGUAACCUACCUCAUAGCGGGGGAUAACUAUUGGAAACGAUAGCUAAUACCGCAUAAGAGAGACUAACGCAUGUUAGUAAUUUAAAAGGGGCAAUUGCUCCACUAUGAGAUGGACCUGCGUUGUAUUAGCUAGUUGGUGAGGUAAAGGCUCACCAAAGCGACGAUACAUAGCCGACCUGAGAGGGUGAUCGGCCACACUGGGACUGAGACACGGCCCAAACUCCUACGGGAGGCAUCACUAGGGAAUCUUCGGCAAUGUGGGGCAAUCCUGACCGAGCAUCGCCGCGUGAGUGAAGAAGGUUUUCGGAUCGUAAAGCUCUGUUUUUAGAGAAGAAUGAUGGUGGGAGUGGAAAAUCCACCAAGUGACGGUAACUAACCAGAAAGGGACGGCUAACUACGUGCCAGCAGCCGCGGUAAUACGUAGGUCCCGAGCGUUGUCCGGAUUUAUUGGGCGUAAAGCGAGCGCAGGCGGUUUUUUAAGUCUGAAGUUAAAGGCAUUGGCUCAACCAAUGUACGCUUUGGAAACUGGAGAACUUGAGUGCAGAAGGGGAGAGUGGAAUUCCAUGUGUAGCGGUGAAAUGCGUAGAUAUAUGGAGGAACACCGGUGGCGAAAGCGGCUCUCUGGUCUGUAAC
rnacentral:rRNA from 1 species